rnacentral:rRNA from 1 species
UACGUAGGGGGCAAGCGUUGUCCGGAUUUAUUGGGCGUAAAGAGCGUGUAGGCGGCCAGGUAGGUCUGGUGUGAAAACUCGAGGCUUAACCUCGAGAUGUCAUCGGAAACCAUCUGGCUAGAGUCCGGAAGAGGAGAGUGGAAUUCCUGGUGUAGCGGUGAAAUGCGCAGAUAUCAGGAAGAACACCAAUGGCGAAGGCGGUUCUCUGGGCAUUCCCUGACGCUGAGGAGCGAAAGUGUGGGGAGCGAACAGG